CCUACGGGCGGCAGCAGUAGGGAAUCUUCCACAAUGGACGAAAGUCUGAUGGAGCAACGCCGCGUGAGUGAAGAAGGGUUUCGGCUCGUAAAGCUCUGUUGGUAGGGAAGAAAGAUAGAGGUAGUAACUGGCCUUUAUUUGACGGUAAUUACUUAGAAAGUCACGGCUAACUACGUGCCAGCAGCCGCGGUAAUACGUAGGUGGCAAGCGUUGUCCGGAUUUAAUGGGCGGAAAGCGAGUGCAGGCGGUUCAAUAAGUCUGAUGUGAAAGCCUUCGGCUCAACCGGAGAAUUGCAUCAGAAACUGUUGAACUGGAGUGCAGAAGAGGAGAGUGGAACUCCAUGUGUAGCGGUGGAAUGCGUGGAUAUAUGGAAGAACACCAGUGGCGAAGGCGGCUCUCUGGUCUGCAACUGACGCUGAGGCUCGAAAGCAUGGGUAGCGAACAGGAUUAGAUACCCGGGUAGUC
rnacentral:rRNA from 1 species